UAAUAACUCUACAAAGCUUACCUUGUACAUGGCAGCGAGUAUGAAAGAGAUGUUCUCGUUGUUGCUCGCUCUUUGGUUUUGCCAAAGAUGAUUGUCCACGAUCAUGAAAAUCAUCAUCCAUUCUAGGGACACGUUGAGGGCUGCACCUAUAGGGCUGGUUAUCCCUAUCUUCCUUAAUUGGAUCUCGAUAUUGAUGUUUUUGAUUCACUCGUACCUC
rnacentral:lncRNA from 1 species